CCGCUGAGUUUAAGCAUAUCAAUAAGCGGAGGAGAAGAAACUUACAAGGAUUCCCCUAGUAACGGCGAGCGAACCGGGAACAGCCCAGCUUGAAAAUCGGACGGCUCCGUCGUCUGAAUUGUAGUCUGUAGAAGCGUCCUCAGCGACGGACCGGGCCCAAGUCCACUGGAAAGUGGCGCCGGAGAGGGUGAGAGCCCCGUCGUGCCCGGACCCUGCCGCACCACGAGGCGCUGUCGGCGAGUCGGGUUGUUUGGGAAUGCAGCCCCAAUCGGGCGGUAAAUUCCGUCCAAGGCUAAAUACCGGCGAGAGACCGAUAGCGAACAAGUACCGCGAGGGAAAGAUGAAAAGGACUUUGAAAAGAGAGUCAAAGAGUGCUUGAAAUUGUCGGGAGGGAAGCGGAUGGGGGCCGGCGAUGCGCUUCGGUCGGAUGCGGAACGGCGUUCAGCCGGUCUGCCGCUCGACUCGGGGCGUGGACCGUUGCGGGUAGCGGCGGCGGCCUAAGCCCAUGCGGUCGAUCCCGCGUGCGGAGACGUCGUCGUCGCGAUCGGGGCAGUCAGCACGCGCCGAAUCGGCGUGCCUCCCGGCACCUGCGUGCUCUCGGCAACGGCCUGCGGGCCCCCC
rnacentral:rRNA from 1 species